AUUGAACGCUGGCGGCAGGCCUAACACAUGCAAGUCGAGCGAGCGGCGGACGGGUGAGUAAUGUAUGGGGAACUGCCCGAUGGAGGGGGAUAACUACUGGAAACGGUAGCUAAUACCGCAUACUAUCAGAUGAGCCCAGAUGGGAUUAGCUAGUAGGUGGGGUAAAGGCUCACAAAGGCGACGAUCUCUAGCUGGGCUGAGAGGAUGACCACCCACACUGGUACGGAGACACGGCCCAGACUCCGACGGGAGGCAGCAGUGGGGAAUAUUGCACACGGGGCGCAAGCCUGAUGCAGCCAUGCCGCGUGUAUGAAGAAGGCCUUGGGGUUGUAAAGUACUUUCAGCGGGGAGGCGUUACCCGCAGAAGAAGCACCGGCUAACUCCGUGACAGAAGCCGCGGUAAUAC
rnacentral:rRNA from 1 species